CUAGAGCUAUGAGCAAAGGGUUCUUGGGAAGGGAGAUGUGCAUUAGUCAUGUUUCUUAUUUUCUGUAUUUAAUGAUGCUUUGAGAUCUUGGAGCCUUAAGGCCUCUGUGGAGGAACUGUCCCUCCCUGGGUGGGCUAACUCCUAAAGUAACAAACAACCUGCCUGCAAAUAUACCAUACCCAGAUCAACCCACAAAACCCAUAUCCCCAACCACUUCCUUUAUCUAACUCACAUAUCAAGCCAGUACUUCCCCGGCCUAAAUCACCCAGGGCCAAAUACUCAACAAUAAGAGACCAUCCUUAAAGCCCAGAGCCCACCAACGUCAUUCAAACUAUCCAGUUCUACACUUGUUCAAACUUUCUGUAAGUGCGGGGAAAGGAAAUCCCGGGGCAAAAUACCUCUAAAAACCAAAAUCAGUCAAAGGGAGAAAUAAAGCUUAAAACUAGUUUAUUGCCCACAAACUGCAGUCCCAGGCCCUCUUUCUUCACUGCUCCAGCAGCAAGCACACUGGUGCUCCCACUCACCUCUCAGGUACAGAUAAGCCCUCUGUUGCCCACUGAUAUGGAGAUGAACUUCUCCACCACUGAGGAAAGAUGCAAAUGUACUACAGCCAUACUUCUUUCCACCUCUGAACGCCUAUUAAUAUACAUAUAUACUAAAGCCAGGCGAGAUAUUCUGGAAAUGUUACAAUUUUACCCACACUUUCCCACUGUCUUGCCUGUUCCUUCCCACAGAAACCACAGGGAAGGAUCUGGACCAUGUUCUUGCCUUACUGCGGUGACUGACCCUGGUACUUUCCCAUGAGGACCUGUGUGGUGUGAUGUGCUCCCUUCUCUUGGGAAAUGAGGAAGAAGACCUUCAACUGAAAA